rnacentral:rRNA from 1 species
GAACCAGCGGAGGGAUCAUUACUGAGUUUACGCUCUAUAACCCUUUGUGAACAUACCUAUAACUGUUGUUCGGCGGGUAGGGUCUCCGUGACCCUCCCGGCCUCCCGCCCCCGGGCGGGUCGGCGCCCGCCGGAGGAUAACCAAACUCUGAUUUAACGACGUUUCUUCUGAGUGGUACAAGCAAAUAAUCAAAACUUUUAACAACGGAUCUCUUGGUUCUGGCAUCGAUGAAGAACGCAGCGAAAUGCGAUAAGUAAUGUGAAUUGCAGAAUUCAGUGAAUCAUCGAAUCUUUGAACGCACAUUGCGCCCGCCAGCAUUCUGGCGGGCAUGCCUGUUCGAGCGUCAUUUCAACCCUCAAGCUCUGCUUGGUGUUGGGGCCCUACAGCUGAUGUAGGCCCUCAAAGGUAGUGGCGGACCCUUCCCCGAGCCUCCUUUGCGUAGUAACUUUACGUCUCGCACUGGGAUCCGGAGGGACUCUUUGCCGUAAAACCCCCCAAUUUUCCAAAGGUUGACCUCA